CCUACGGGUGGCUGCAGUGGGGAAUAUUGCACAAUGGGCGAAAGCCUGAUGCAGCGACGCCGCGUGGAGGAUGAAGGUCUUCGGAUUGUAAACUUCUGUUAAGUGGGAAGAAAGACCUUGUGCUAAUACCACAAGGGGAUGACGGUACCACUAGAGAAAGCACCGGCUAACUUCGUGCCAGCAGCCGCGGUAAUACGAAGGGUGCGAGCGUUAUUCGGAAUAACUGGGCGUAAAGAGCGUGAAGGCGGCGAUAUAAGUUGUCUGUAAAAGCCUGCGGCUUACCCGCAGAACAGCAGACAAUACUGUGUUGCUAGAAUGUGAGAGAGAGGGGUAGAAUUCUCGGAGUAGCGGUAAAAUGCGUAGAUCUCGAGAGGAACACCGAAGGCGAAGGCAGCCCCUUGGCUCAAGAUUGACGCUGGAGCGCGAAAGCGUGGGGAGCAAACAGGAUUAGAUACCCUAGUAGUC
rnacentral:rRNA from 1 species